CGGAUACCAAAAAAACAAACAAAAAAUACAUAAUGUAUUUUGGUAUCAAUUCCUGGAAUAGCUAUACUACAGGAAAAAAUUGAGGAAUCAGUCCAAA